UAGAACGGAUCCGACAGUGAGGGAUGAAAGCUAGGGGAGCAAAUCGGAUUAGAUACCCGAGUAGUCCUAGCCGUAAACGCUGCCUGCAAGGUGCUGCAAUUUCUUCGUGUUUUUGCAGUGUCGAAGAGAAAUCGUUAAGCAGGCCACCUGGGAAGUACGGUCGCAAGGCUGAAACUUAAAGGAAUAGGCGGGGGGUCACAACAAGGGGUGGAUGUUGCGGUUUAAUUCAACAAUACGCGGGGAACCCUACCAGGGCCGACAGCAGAAUGAAGGUCAGCCUGAAUGGCUCACUUGACGCGCUGAGAGGUGGUGCAUGGCGGUCGUCAGCUCGUGUCUUGAGAUGUUCUGUUAAGUCAGAGAACGAGCGAGACCUGCGUUUUCAGUUGCCACCGUCCUUUUUCGAGGACGAGCACACUGGAAAGACUGCAUUCGAAAGGAUGAGGAAGGUGCAGGCUACGGUACGUCUGUAUGCCCCGAAUGUCCUGGGCUACACGCGACAUACACUGGUCGGAACAACGGGUAGCAACUCCGAAAGGAGAAGCCAAUCCCUUAAAGCCGAUCCGGUCUGGAUCGAGGGCUGCAACUCGCCCUCGUGAAAACGAAAUCCCUAGUAAUCGUGUAUUAGCAAUGCGCGGUGAAUAAGUCCCUGGCCCUUGCACUCACUGCCUGUCAAGUCAACCGAGCAGG
rnacentral:rRNA from 1 species